GUUAUGCUCCUAUAAUCUGAAUAAAAUCUGUAAUGAUAUUAAAGUUGAAUAUCAAACCUGAUACUUUCUCCUGAUAUCAGUGAUUGGUGAACAAGCAUACAGCUCUCUACUGUAUUUGUCUGAUGAUGAAGAGUUAUAUAAAAGAGGAUGUUCUUCUACUGAUCUAGAUAUUAAAGACAAGGGCACUGAAGAUGGUGAUGUCAUCACCACAGUCCCAGGUUAAAAAAAAACUCCAUCAGUAUGAUGUGUGCAGAUAUACUGUAGUACACCUUCCAUGUGCCAUCUUGAUAUGUAGAAGUUAGCAACGUUUCUUAAAUGUUGGGUCAGGGUUGGUACCUUUAACGGCUUGAGACUGAGAAUAGAAAAUAGAUGUAUAGAAUCAAUCUUUAGGAUGUUUUUAACAUAAAUCUUCAAUAAAGUUCCAACCGAAGAAUUCCUUUGUCUUCAGAAAUGCAAUGAAAUGCAGGUUGCGCUCACGUGAAUGCGCGAGACUGAGCUCGUGGCUGCUGGCAGACCUCUGACUCAAUCCCCUCUCAUUCACCCCCACAUCACAGUAGAACCAUCAAACAAGGUUCUAAAGACUGUUGACAUCUAGUGGAAGCCUUUGGAAGUGCAAGAUGACCCCAUAGACACUGUGUAUUCGAUAGGGUACCAGUAAUGCUGUUAAGUUGCCCAUCAGUCACAUCAUGCUCUUUGUGACACUGACCAUCAUGGCUGCCAUAGUCACUAUUCACACAAGGAGGAUCCGCCCACCCAAGGCUCUGCCCCCACAAGCAGAAGAAGCCUCUGGUAUGGAGAUUCAUGUCCUGGAGGAAUGACCCCUUGUUCCUCACUCUUCUCCCUGUGCUGGACUAAGACUUUCAAACUGUCUGUGUUUUUAUUGAUUAAGAGGACAUUAUACAUGUUUUUUAAAGCUGAUGUUCAUCUAUGAUAGAGUAGAGUGUGUUGGAAGAUGUAUUUAUAGUUGUAUUUUCAACUUUUAGUAUCUUUAGUAUCUAUUUAACAUAUUUGUUGUUGCAUGCAGUAGGGGUGAUGACAUCACUGAAGCAACACAUGGUCUAUGUGAAUGAUAAGUUUGUUUUUUCCCUGUCCAUUAUGAAGGAAGUCAGCAAAGAGACAUUCAGAUUUUGUUUAUCCAUAUGUUUUUUCCUAACCUAUUUUUUUUUUAUGAACACAAUGCUUUUCUAACGUUUAAAUUCAUUUAUGAAACAGUUUUUAAAUAAACGAUUAAAAAUGUAUUAUGUCUAACUCUUUGUCAGUACAGUACAGAGGUUUUUUUUUUACUAUACACUUCCACAAUACAGUAGCCUACACAGUUUUUAGUUUUUUCACCUUUACCUGCUGCUGAAUUUCAUGUCGGCCUGGUGGAGCGUUCCUGGCCACUAGGGGCCCCCCGAAACCAAUUUAAAAAGUAAACCCAGUGUCUCAACAUACUGUUGAGAGUUAGAAUAGUAGAAUACACAAGGUGAAAGUUUGACAUUUUAGUUGUGCAUCAUUAGUUUUUCUCUUGUUAUGUUAGUCAAUGACAGUCACUAAAUUUGCCAUGUCAGCUAACAAUUUUUAGAUUUGUAAAUGAGUCUAGCCAGCUUUCUAAUCUUGUAGUAAUCAUGUCCAAAUACCGACUGGGCACGCAGGGCAAAUGCCAGGGGGCCCUGACCUCCAGGGGGCUUGUAUUGACUUUGUUAGUCAUUCUUACUCAGAUAUCAUGAGUCAUGGCAAAAUGUGCAGAAUUGUCUUUAAAAAUUCAAAAAUGAAUCUCUGCCCCAUGGAAACAUUUGUAGAAUUGCAUGACAUUUUUUAUAAAAUAGCAACAUCUUGUCUCUGCCCCAUGACAAAAUGUAUGCAACGGCCAAAAUCUUGUUUAAAAACUGGAACAUUUACU